GGGGUCGUUAUGGAUUCGACAGGUAUGGGUCGAACUGUAACUGCAUUUCGUAGGUUACGUCUACGUAAAAACGUUCAGUUUAAUUAUAACUGCAAAAAUAAUAACAAUUCUUACGCUUUAGCUGCCUAAACAGUAGCUUAGCGUGAUCCGCCUAGUCUCGUCCACGGGCUAGUAACGGGUCUCAAAAAGAGUGGACUUGCGCUUAAGGAUUGGCCUGGAUGCUUAAGAAGAGGAUUUACAGACUAGCGUUUUAAUGAGGCCCUGACAUACGGCAGCUUAAUUCGCGAAUUUAAAUAGUAUGGAUAUGAAUGUAGAGGUUACAGUGGCGACAUGCUUGGACGCGGGUUCGACUCCCGCCGACUCCAUUU
rnacentral:tmRNA from 1 species